rnacentral:rRNA from 1 species
AGUGAACGCUGGCGGUAGGCCUAACACAUGCAAGUCGAACGGCAGCACAGUAAGAGCUUGCUCUUACGGGUGGCGAGUGGCGGACGGGUGAGGAAUACAUCGGAAUCUACUUUUUCGUGGGGGAUAACGUAGGGAAACUUACGCUAAUACCGCAUACGACCUACGGGUGAAAGCAGGGGAUCUUCGGACCUUGCGCGAUUGAAUGAGCCGAUGUCGGAUUAGCUAGUUGGCGGGGUAAAGGCCCACCAAGGCGACGAUCCGUAGCCGGUCUGAGAGGAUGAUCAGCCACACUGGAACUGAGACACGGUCCAGACUCCUACGGGAGGCAGCAGUGGGGAAUAUUGGACAAUGGGCGCAAGCCUGAUCCAGCCAUACCGCGUGGGUGAAGAAGGCCUUCGGGUUGUAAAGCCCUUUUGUUGGGAAAGAAAAGCAGCAGGUUAAUACCCCGCUGUUCUGACGGUACCCAAAGAAUAAGCGCCGGCUAACUUCGUG